AGGUCAACGUGGCUGCCAGAGCAUUUCUUCCUUUCCCAGAAGUGCCCUCCAUGUUGUACCCUGUGGGCUGCCCUUUAUCACCAUCCAUGGGCUUUGGGCCACCCCCACUUUCUCCAAGCUGGUGACCUCUAGGACCUCACCCUCCACCUCCACCAUCUGGGAAGAUGAUCUGAACAGUAGGAGUUAACUUAGAAAACACGUUUUGUCUUUCUUCUUGUUGAGUCUUUGGAGAAGAUGCAGUGAUGGUACCACAUGGCUUUCAGUCUAUGCAAGUCAGAAUCACCUCCAUCCACCUCCAGCCUUUAUGAGACGCAGGACAUGGUACAGCUCCCAUGGGGAACAUCAGUUCUGUCUCUACCAAGGAUGCAGAGAAAUACAAGCCUCCAGGCUUCUCCAGUUUAAGAUCAUCAUGGUAGCUGGCACCUCUGGAAGCCACAAGUGCGUCGAGGCUGAGGACCACGUGGCUCUCACUUUGUGUUUGUGGAAAUAACUUGAGGAGGAUCACACGUCACUGUACC